CCGCCCUUCGCUCACCUGACCUGCGGGCCAUCCGGGAAGAGGAAAAGGAUGCUCCAGCAGGGAGGUCCUACCCUCUAUGAAGUCUCCGGUUCCACCAAGGCGCACACAAAGCCGAGCUUACCAGACAGACAAAUCCUGAAUGCGACUUCCUCUUUUCACAUGGGACAUGCAGGAGAAAAGCCAACAAUUUAAAAGAAAGUCUCAUCCGGGCCAUUCAAAACCUACCAGCAGGGGCGGUGCCUCACGGUACUCUUCCAUCCAGAGGGAACUGAAAGAGCUUCAAAGAUACGGAAAAGAGUUAGACAUCCGUGCUAUCGGCAACACGCCACGUGACGUCUUCUGAGGCAGAAACUAUUAUUGAAAGUCCUCAUCUCCAUCGCGAGCAGGCGAUCCUGAAGGGCUUUUGUUUUUAAACAACUUGUAUUCCACGCGCCCCCCUCUCAAGUUCACACUUCCACUAACGUCCAGAGCCCUUCCCCUCCACUCGCCUACCGCUGGCAGCGACCAGCCAGUGACGCCACACCGACUUCUUCCUUUCCAAUGCUUCUGGAACUCUUUUUCACCCUAAUGUACACGUAAACGAAACACAACUGGCUUGCCAGUUGGGAGACUUAAGGAAUAAAUAUAUCACAAGACCUAAGAAUUUUCUGCAAAGGCAGUUUUAAUCUGAGGCAAGAUGCACUUCCUAAUCUGCCAAAGACAGAGGAGGGACCGAGGGGUUUUGCUGCCCGCGGCCGAGAUCCGGGCCGUUCAGAUCGGCUUCCCUCCGCUGCUGCCCGCCGGUCGCUCAGGCCGCACGGGCUCAUGUUCUGCCCUGCCCGUCGCUCCCCGUUAAAUGAAGCAGCCUCAGGGAAGCCCCCGAGGCCGCCUUUUAGGAUCCGUGGGCCGGCUGCGUUGGACCAGCGGGCCCCUUCCUUACCGAAGCGCUGUGACCAAGGAGGCGCCCCAGCUGGCUGUGGAAAAAUAACCAAAUUUUGCUUUUUCCACAAUUACCCCUUUUACCCUGCUUUUUUAGAAAUCCUCCGUCGCUGCCAGGAAGAGCAGCGCGGCCCUCUGAGGGCUCCUGUGGGGUCCCGCCGUCAGGCUGCCUUCCGGCAGACGUUCCCGCCGGAGGUGCCCGCCUGGGCCUCUGCAGCCCGGCGGCCACUGGGGAACGUGGGGCGGCCCAUCUGGGCGGCCGCGAGGCCGUGGGAGAGAUGCAGCAUCGCCCCAUCUCGCUAGGCUGGGGCACGCCAGGCCCCCUGCAAAUGGGCGGGGCGCAGCCCUCGGGUCGGGGAGCCGCGG